AUGAAGAAACAAGAUUUCAUUCCUACAAACGGCGAUGAUGCCGAACAGCACGACAGCGACGCAGAACAUGACGACGAUCCCAAAUCAGGCAAGAAGGACAGAAACAGGAGAAAGACAAGCGAGAAAGAAUUGGCAGCACCAACAGGUGACAAAGAACAGCAAGAAACAAACGAAGAGAAAUGCCAAAUCAAGGCAGGGGCAGCAUUCGCUCAUGUCAAGAAAGCAUGGAAUUUACUUAAAGACCGUCACAAGCAAGAUAUUAGGACGGCAGGAUUUGGAAGCAUAGAGAACUGCAAAAUAACGGGCUCCAUCUGCAGACCGCUUGCAGCACACAUCUACGACAACCUCGACACAGAAACCAUGACAAUAACCUUCGGUGAUGGUACCGAAGACAAAAAAAUCAAGAUUACCAAGGAAGCUAUCCACAAGGUGUUUGGAUACCCAAACGACACGCAAAGGUUAGCACCAAGGCCAGAGACUAGCCCAGGUUCAAUGAAAGAACUCAUGUCAGACCUUGGCUUCAAAGAUACAAAAUUCGCGCCAAAACAACUGUUCGAGAAGCUACAAAUAUUGGUGGAAAUAGAUGACGAACAGUCAAACAGGAAAUCAGUUAAAAUAUUUUUCCUUAUUUUUUUUGACAAUGUUGUCUGCGGGUCAAGCGCCGCUAUCUUCGCCCGACAAGCUAUAAUGGUCAAGGACAUGGACUAUCCAGAAAUGGCAAAGAUGGAUUUCUGCGAGGUAAUCGUCGAAAGUAUUAGGGAAGGAGCCAAGACAUGGCAGAAGCACAGGAUGUUGCCUCAGGAAGAAAAGAACGAAAAGCACAUCAAUGGUUUGGCACAGGGACCAGUAAUCAUGAACGUACCAAUAGCACGCCAGGUCAAGAUGAACUCCAACAGCAGGAUGGUGUCAACAACCCCAAAAACAAGAAUGAACGCAACAAACAAAGCAACCUCACAACAGACAGUGCUACAACAACAGCUACCCCAGCAUAAGCACAAGAUACGAUUGACGUCAGAACCAGUGAAGAGGUCAGCUCAGCUGGAGAACAAUCAAGUCAGCAGUCCCGUCAACCAAAUGCAAGAGGCUGACCCACAAUCAACCGUAUCACAAUCACUGCAAGACCAAGAGACAACCCGUGUUGAAAUUGAACCCCAUAGUGAACCUCAAACAGACGAAGGAGUCACAAAACAGGAAAUUUGUGCACAAGAGAUUUCCAGUGCCACAACAUUGCAGAUCACCAUCACGAGUACAAAGGAGAAAACCCAAGACAUCCAAGCCGAUGAGAAACUAGAGACGGUUAUACCUGACAAAGAAACAGUCGAUGCAGGCACGAAUAACCCAGUCAUCAACACAGAGGAAACAAACAAGUACAUUGAUCUCGAAGAUCAAGAAGCAGCGCAACCAAAGGAAACUGGAAAACACACAGAACUUCAAACAAGAACAUCUGAAGAGGAAGAGGAAACAAGCGAAAGCACUGGCAUAGACAUUGAACAAGAAAAACUAGAGGACAGCACGAUACAAGGAGAAGUCAUAGUUCCAGCAGUAGACAGUCCUGCAAAUCCAAAGAAAGAGGCACAAGAAGCUCAAGAGAGCACCAACAAUCAAGACCAUCAAUCACAACCAGAGGAGCCCAAUGAACAACCCGAACAUGUUCUUCAAACGGUAGACAAUAAUGCCACUAAAGACCAAGCCACCAAAAUUUCACUCACCAAACAACAGCUACCAGAGACAGCGGCAGCGUCAAUGAUUGAAAAGAAACAUGAAGAAGGCAACCACGGAGAUACAACCAAUGAAGCAAACACACAAAUUGUUCCAGAGAAAGAACCAGAAACUAUCGAAGAAAACCCUAUGCCAUCGUACGAUGCCAAUUCCCCUGGCAGAGAGGUCAGUGCCAUCCAGGUCGAGACUGAAAAACAAGAUGGAAAAGACCACCAGCAAGACAUAACGGUUGACAAGGAAAAACAUGAUGCUAAGAAAAGCACAGACAACUCAAAUAAGGAUGGAGCAGAAACUGAACAAAAGGGCACAAUGGAGAAAGGGGGCAAAGAUAGCGAUUCCGUCAACAAAGCCAUCGAAGAGUUGUACAACGCUGUAUGCAAGCCAUGGACAAAGAGAGAAAUGGAUCGGCUUUUCAUUACAAUAGACAAGUUUGAUGUAAAUCUAGGCCAUGUCGCCGAAAGCUUCAAGGUCGGUAAAUCAGUACCCAUCGAAGCAAUCGAGCACAUGCUAACAAUCUUGAGAAAACAACUCAAUGGCACACGGAGAAAGAUUCUAUCGUUAAGAAACAAUUUUCUUCUACCAUGUUCGUUGUGCGGGUUUGAGCAAGACGAAACUAUAAGUCAUUACUUCACCAUCACAGUUAACAUGCAAAAACAACACUUUGAACUCCUUGACUCUUCAACUGCAUAUCCAGGCACAAUAGAAUUCUUCAACAAUAAAAAAAGCAUCGACCAUUUCAAAAAGGUCAAAGUGCGGGUGCCACUUCAAGGAGAAGACACAAUGGACUGCGCAUUCUAUAUGUACAUGAACCUGAAGCACCACUCCAAUGAUGGAACAGCAGCAACCUUAAAGCCAGAACAAAUUAUGGAUGUCAGCAGCCACGCCGUCGCCCAACAAUCUUGCACAGACCACGAACAAAAUGAUCCACCAAUAGAACCAGAUCAACCACCACCAGACGACAAGAUAACACACCAUGCUGAAGAGGAAACGAAUGAGCAAAAUAUCAACAGCAAUAUCACGAGCACAGAGCAACUAGAACAAACAAGCACUGAUUUAAAAGAGGAUGACAAAAGAAACGACGUACCAAAUACACAACAACAGGUUUCCGAGUAG
rnacentral:rRNA from 1 species